rnacentral:rRNA from 1 species
UACGUAGGGCGCAAGCGUUGUCCGGAAUUAUUGGGCGUAAAGAGCUCGUAGGCGGUUUGUCGCGUCUGCUGUGAAAACCUAAGGCUCAACCUUGGGCUUGCAGUGGGUACGGGGCAGACUAGAGUGCGGUAGGGGUGACUGGAAUUCCUGGUGUAGCGGUGGAAUGCGCAGAUAUCAGGAGGAACACCGAUGGCGAAAGGCAGGUCACUGGGCCGCAA